AAUCCAUAGGUUAAUGAGGCGAACCGGGGGAACUGAAACAUCUAAGUACCCCGAGGAAAAGAAAUCAACCGAGAUUCCCCCAGUAGCGGCGAGCGAACGGGGAGGAGCCCAGAGCCUGAAUCAGCAUGUGUGUUAGUGGAAGCGUCUGGAAAGGCGCGCGAUACAGGGUGACAGCCCCGUACACAAAAGCGCAUGUGUUGUGAGCUCGAUGAGUAGGGCGGGACACGUGGUAUCCUGUCUGAAUAUGGGGGGACCAUCCUCCAAGGCUAAAUACUCCUGACUGACCGAUAGUGAACCAGUACCGUGAGGGAAAGGCGAAAAGAACCCCGGCGAGGGGAGUGAAAAAGAACCUGAAACCGUGUACGUACAAGCAGUGGGAGCACCCUUUUGGGUGUGACUGCGUACCUUUUGUAUAAUGGGUCAGCGACUUAUAUUCUGUAGCAAGGUUAACCGAAUAGGGGAGCCGGAGGGAAACCGAGUCUUAAUUGGGCGUUAAGUUGCAGGGUAUAGACCCGAAACCCGGUGAUCUAGCCAUGGGCAGGUUGAAGGUUGGGUAACACUAACUGGAGGACCGAACCGACUAAUGUUGAAAAAUUAGCGGAUGACCUGUGGCUGGGGGUGAAAGGCCAAUCAAACCGGGAGAUAGCUGGUUCUCCCCGAAAGCUAUUUAGGUAGCGCCUCGUGAACUCAUCUCCGGGGGUAGAGCACUGUUUCGGCUAGGGGGCCAUCCCGGCUUACCAACCCGAUGCAAACUGCGAAUACCGGAGAAUGUUAUCACGGGAGACACACGGCGGGUGCUAACGUCCGUCGUGAAGAGGGAAACAACCCAGACCGCCAGCUAAGGUCCCAAAGUCAUGGUUAAGUGGGAAACGAUGUGGGAAGGCCCAGACAGCCAGGAUGUUGGCUUAGAAGCAGCCAUCAUUUAAAGAAAGCGUAAUAGCUCACUGGUCGAGUCGGCCUGCGCGGAAGAUGUAACGGGGCUAAACCAUGCACCGAAGCUGCGGCAGCGACGCUCAGGCGUUGUUGGGUAGGGGAGCGUUCUGUAAGCCUGUGAAGGUGGCCUGUGAGGGUUGCUGGAGGUAUCAGAAGUGCGAAUGCUGACAUAAGUAACGAUAAAGCGGGUGAAAAGCCCGCUCGCCGGAAGACCAAGGGUUCCUGUCCAACGUUAAUCGGGGCAGGGUGAGUCGACCCCUAAGGCGAGGCCGAAAGGCGUAGUCGAUGGGAAACGGGUUAAUAUUCCCGUACUUGGUGUUACUGCGAAGGGGGGACGGAGAAGGCUAUGUUGGCCGGGCGACGGUUGUCCCGGUUUAAGCGUGUAGGUGUGUGUUCCAGGUAAAUCCGGUUCACUUUAACACUGAGGCGUGACGACGAGGCACUACGGUGCUGAAGCAACAAAUGCCCUGCUUCCAGGAAAAGCCUCUAAGCAUCAGGUAACAUCAAAUCGUACCCCAAACCGACACAGGUGGUCAGGUAGAGAAUACCAAGGCGCUUGAGAGAACUCGGGUGAAGGAACUAGGCAAAAUGGUGCCGUAACUUCGGGAGAAGGCACGCUGACACGUAGGUGAAGUGAUUUACUCAUGGAGCUGAAGUCAGUCGAAGAUACCAGCUGGCUGCAACUGUUUAUUAAAAACACAGCACUGUGCAAACACGAAAGUGGACGUAUACGGUGUGACGCCUGCCCGGUGCCGGAAGGUUAAUUGAUGGGGUCAGCGCAAGCGAAGCUCCUGAUCGAAGCCCCGGUAAACGGCGGCCGUAACUAUAACGGUCCUAAGGUAGCGAAAUUCCUUGUCGGGUAAGUUCCGACCUGCACGAAUGGCGUAAUGAUGGCCAGGCUGUCUCCACCCGAGACUCAGUGAAAUUGAACUCGCUGUGAAGAUGCAGUGUACCCGCGGCAAGACGGAAAGACCCCGUGAACCUUUACUAUAGCUUGACACUGAACAUUGAGCCUUGAUGUGUAGGAUAGGUGGGAGGCUUUGAAGCGUGGACGCCAGUCUGCGUGGAGCCGACCUUGAAAUACCACCCUUUAAUGUUUGAUGUUCUAACGUGGACCCGUUACCCGGGUUGCGGACAGUGUCUGGUGGGUAGUUUGACUGGGGCGGUCUCCUCCUAAAGAGUAACGGAGGAGCACGAAGGUUGGCUAAUCCUGGUCGGACAUCAGGAGGUUAGUGCAAUGGCAUAAGCCAGCUUGACUGCGAGCGUGACGGCGCGAGCAGGUGCGAAAGCAGGUCAUAGUGAUCCGGUGGUUCUGAAUGGAAGGGCCAUCGCUCAACGGAUAAAAGGUACUCCGGGGAUAACAGGCUGAUACCGCCCAAGAGUUCAUAUCGACGGCGGUGUUUGGCACCUCGAUGUCGGCUCAUCACAUCCUGGGGCUGAAGUAGGUCCCAAGGGUAUGGCUGUUCGCCAUUUAAAGUGGUACGCGAGCUGGGUUUAGAACGUCGUGAGACAGUUCGGUCCCUAUCUGCCGUGGGCGCUGGAGAACUGAGGGGGGCUGCUCCUAGUACGAGAGGACCGGAGUGGACGCAUCACUGGUGUUCGGGUUGUCAUGCCAAUGGCACUGCCCGGUAGCUAAAUGCGGAAGAGAUAAGUGCUGAAAGCAUCUAAGCACGAAACUUGCCCCGA
rnacentral:rRNA from 1 species